AUCAGGUGCAGUGGCAUGUGCCUAUAGUUCCAGUUACUUGGGAGGAUGAGGUAGAAAGAUCCCUUUAGCCUAGACGUUCUGGGCUUGUAGUGUAUUGUGCCAAUCAGGUGUCCACAUUAAGUUCAGCAUCAAUAUAGUGACCUCCUGGGAGCAGGGGACCACCAGGUUACCUAAGAAGGAGAGAACUGGCCCAGGUCAGAAACAGAGCAAGUCAAAAUACAGGCGCUGAUCAGUCGCAAGAUAGUGCCUAUGAACAGCCACUACACUCCAGCCUGGGCAACAUAGCAAUGCACGUCUCUAAU
rnacentral:SRP_RNA from 10 species